rfam:Oryza glumipatula chromosome 2, whole genome shotgun sequence.
AAUAAGUGCAGUCAUUAGUUUCCGCGCCCAAUUUUGAUCGUCCGUCUUAUUUGAAAUUUUUUUUAUAAUUAGCAGUUUUGUUGUUAUGAGAUGAUAAAACAUGAAUAGUACUUUAUUCGUGACUUAUGUUUUUAAUUUUUUUUAAAAAAAUUUCAAAUAAGACGAACGGUCAAAGUUGGGCGUAGAAAACCAUGGCUGCACUUAUU